GGGGAAUUUUGGACAAUGGGGGCAACCCUGAUCCAGCAAUGCCGCGUGAGUGAAGAAGGCCUUCGGGUUGUAAAGCUCUUUCGGCCGGGACGAAAUCGUGCAGGCUAAUAACCUGUAUGGAUGACGGUACCGGAACAAGAAGCACCGGCCAACUACGUGCCAGCAGCCGCGGUAAUACGUAGGGCGCGAGCGUUAAUCGGAAUUACUGGGCGUAAAGCGUGCGCAGGCGGUUUUGUAAGACAGGCGUGAAAUCCCCGGGCUCAACCUGGGAACUGCGCUUGUGACUGCAAGACUGGAGUACGGCAGAGGGGGGUGGAUUUCCACGUGUAGCAGUGAAAUGCGUAGUUAUGCGGAGGAACACCGAUGGCGAAGGCAGUCCCCUGGGCCUGUACUGACGCUCAUGCACGAAAGCGUGGGGAGCAAACA
rnacentral:rRNA from 1 species